rnacentral:rRNA from 1 species
GACGAACGCUGGCGGCGUGCCUAAUACAUGCAAGUCGAACGCUUCUUUCCUCCCGAGUGCUUGCCCUCAAUUGGAAAGAGGAGUGGCGGACGGGUGAGUAACACGUGGGUAACCUACCCAUCAGAGGGGGAUAACACUUGGAAACAGGUGCUAAUACCGCAUAACAGUUUAUGCCGCAUGGCAUAAGAGUGAAAGGCGCUUUCGGGUGUCGCUGAUGGAUGGACCCGCGGUGCAUUGGCUAGUUGGUGAGGUAACGGCUCACCAAGGCCACGAUGCAUAGCCGACCUGAGAGGGUGAUCGGCCACACUGGGACUGAGACACGGCCCAGACUCCUACGGGAGGCAGCAGUAGGGAAUCUUCGGCAAUGGACGAAAGUCUGACCGAGCAACGCCGCGUGAGUGAAGAAGGUUUUCGGAUCGUAAAACUCUGUUGUUAGAGAAGAACAAGGACGUUAGUAACUGAACGUCCCCUGACGGUAUCUAACCAGAAAGCCACGGCUAACUACGUG